ACACAUGCAAGUCGAGCGGAGUGAUGGUGCUUGCACUAUCACUUAGCGGCGGACGGGUGAGUAAUGCUUAGGAAUCUGCCUAUUAGUGGGGGACAACAUUUCGAAAGGAAUGCUAAUACCGCAUACGUCCUACGGGAGAAAGCAGGGGAUCUUCGGACCUUGCGCUAAUAGAUGAGCCUAAGUCGGAUUAGCUAGUUGGUGGGGUAAAGGCCUACCAAGGCGACGAUCUGUAGCGGGUCUGAGAGGAUGAUCCGCCACACUGGGACUGAGACACGGCCCAGACUCCUACGGGAGGCAGCAGUGGGGAAUAUUGGACAAUGGGCGCAAGCCUGAUCCAGCCAUGCCGCGUGUGUGAAGAAGGCCUUAUGGUUGUAAAGCACUUUAAGCGAGGAGGAGGCUACUGAAGUUAAUACCUUCAGAUAGUGGACGUUACUCGCAGAAUAAGCACCGGCUAACUCUGUGCCAGCAGCCGCGGUAAUACAGAGGGUGCAAGCGUUAAUCGGAUUUACUGGGCGUAAAGCGCGCGUAGGCGGCUAAUUAAGUCAAAUGUGAAAUCCCCGAGCUUAACUUGGGAAUUGCAUUCGAUACUGGUUAGCUAGAGUGUGGGAGAGGAUGGUAGAAUUCCAGGUGUAGCGGUGAAAUGCGUAGAGAUCUGGAGGAAUACCGAUGGCGAAGGCAGCCAUCUGGCCUAACACUGACGCUGAGGUGCGAAAGCAUGGGGAGCAAACAGGAUUAGAUACCCUGGUAGUCCAUGCCGUAAACGAUGUCUACUAGCCGUUGGGGCCUUUGAGGCUUUAGUGGCGCAGCUAACGCGAUAAGUAGACCGCCUGGGGAGUACGGUCGCAAGACUAAAACUCAAAUGAAUUGACGGGGGCCCGCACAAGCGGUGGAGCAUGUGGUUUAAUUCGAUGCAACGCGAAGAACCUUACCUGGCCUUGACAUAGUAAGAACUUUCCAGAGAUGGAUUGGUGCCUUCGGGAACUUACAUACAGGUGCUGCAUGGCUGUCGUCAGCUCGUGUCGUGAGAUGUUGGGUUAAGUCCCGCAACGAGCGCAACCCUUUUCC
rnacentral:rRNA from 1 species